rnacentral:rRNA from 1 species
GACGAACGCUGGCGGCGUGCUUAACACAUGCAAGUCGAACGGAAAGGCCCUGUUUUUGUGGGGUGCUCGAGUGGCGAACGGGUGAGUAACACGUGAGUAACCUGCCCUUGACUGUUGGAUAACUUCACGUAACUGGGGUUAAGACCAGAUAGGAGCUCCUGCUGCAUGGGGGUGGUUGGAACGUGUCGGUGGGUGGGGAUGGACUGGCGGUUUAUCAGCUUGUGGGGGGGGUAGGGGCUUAGGACGGCUUGGGCGGGGAGCCGGCCUGAGAGGGUGACCGCCAACAUGGGGACUGAGACAGGGCCCAGCCUCCUCGGGGGGGCGGCAGUGGGGAAUAUUCCACAAGGGCCGGAGCCCUGAUGCGGCAGCGCGCCGUGGGGGAUGACGGCUUUCGGGUUGUAAACCGCUUUCGCAUGGGACGAGGCGUGUGUGACGGUACUGGGUGAAGAAGCACCGGCUAACUACGUG